CCGGCCUUGUACACACCGCCCGUCACACCAUGGGAGUUGGUUUUACCCGAAGGUAGUGCGCUAACCGCAAGGAGGCAGCUAACCACGGUAGGGUCAGCGACUGGGUG
rnacentral:rRNA from 1 species